rnacentral:misc_RNA from 1 species
UGGUUCUGGCAUCGAUGAAGAACGCAGCGAAAUGCGAUAAGUAAUGUGAAUUGCAGAAUUCAGUGAAUCAUCGAAUUUUUGAACGCAUAUUGCGCCCUUUGGUAUUCCGAAGGGCAUGCCUGUUCGAGCGUCAUUUCAACCCUCAAACCUCGGUUUGGUGUUGGGCACUGAUAGCUAUCAUGCCUAAAAUCUAGUGAUGGUGAUCCUAACCAUAAGCGCACAGAGUCGCGAUGGGACCGAUCGGCAUCCACAAUCUAAACGUUGACCUCGGAUCAGGUAGGGAUACCCGCUGA